rnacentral:rRNA from 1 species
CAGUCGCCGCGGUAAUACAGAGGGUGCAAGCGUUAAUCGGAAUUACUGGGCGUAAAGCGCGCGUAGGUGGUUUGUUAAGUUGGAUGUGAAAGCCCCGGGCUCAACCUGGGAACUGCAUCCAAAACUGGCGAGCUAGAGUAUGGUAGAGGGUGGUGGAAUUUCCUGUGUAGCGGUGAAAUGCGUAGAUAUAGGAAGGAACAUCAGUGGCGAAGGCGACCACCUGGACUGAUACUGACACUGAGGUGCGAAAGCGUGGGGAGCAAACAGGAUUAGAUACCCGCGUAGUCCCUGUCUCUUAUAC